rnacentral:rRNA from 1 species
GACGAACGCUGGCGGCGUGCCUAAUACAUGCAAGUCGAACGAACUCUGGUAUUGAUUGGUGCUUGCAUCAUGAUUUACAUUUGAGUGAGUGGCGAACUGGUGAGUAACACGUGGGAAACCUGCCCAGAAGCGGGGGAUAACACCUGGAAACAGAUGCUAAUACCGCAUAACAACUUGGACCGCAUGGUCCGAGUUUGAAAGAUGGCUUCGGCUAUCACUUUUGGAUGGUCCCGCGGCGUAUUAGCUAGAUGGUGGGGUAACGGCUCACCAUGGCAAUGAUACGUAGCCGACCUGAGAGGGUAAUCGGCCACAUUGGGACUGAGACACGGCCCAAACUCCUACGGGAGGCAGCAGUAGGGAAUCUUCCACAAUGGACGAAAGUCUGAUGGAGCAACGCCGCGUGAGUGAAGAAGGGUUUCGGCUCGUAAAACUCUGUUGUUAAAGAAGAACAUAUCUGAGAGUAACUGUUCAGGUAUUGACGGUAUUUAACCAGAAAGCCACGGCUAACUACGUGCCAGCAGCCGCGGUAAUACGUAGGUGGCAAGCGUUGUCCGGAUUUAUUGGGCGUAAAGCGAGCGCAGGCGGUUUUUUAAGUCUGAUGUGAAAGCCUUCGGCUCAACCGAAGAAGUGCAUCGGAAACUGGGAAACUUGAGUGCAGAAGAGGACAGUGGAACUCCAUGUGUAGCGGUGAAAUGCGUAGAUAUAUGGAAGAACACCAGUGGCGAAGGCGGCUGUCUGGUCUGUAGCUGACGCUGAGGCUCGAAAGUAUGGGUAGCAAACAGGAUUAGAUACCCUGGUAGUCCAUACCGUAAACGAUGAAUGCUAAGUGUUGGAGGGUUUCCGCCCUUCAGUGCUGCAGCUAACGCAUUAAGCAUUCCGCCUGGGGAGUACGGCCGCAAGGCUGAAACUCAAAGGAAUUGACGGGGGCCCGCACAAGCGGUGGAGCAUGUGGUUUAAUUCGAAGCUACGCGAAGAACCUUACCAGGUCUUGACAUACUAUGCAAAUCUAAGAGAUUAGACGUUCCCUUCGGGGACAUGGAUACAGGUGGUGCAUGGUUGUCGUCAGCUCGUGUCGUGAGAUGUUGGGUUAAGUCCCGCAACGAGCGCAACCCUUAUUAUCAGUUGCCAGCAUUAAGUUGGGCACUCUGGUGAGACUGCCGGUGACAAACCGGAGGAAGGUGGGGAUGACGUCAAAUCAUCAUGCCCCUUAUGACCUGGGCUACACGCGUGCUACAAUGGAUGGUACAACGAGUUGCGAACUCGCGAGAGUAAGCUAAUCUCUUAAAGCCAUUCUCAGUUCGGAUUGUAGGCUGCAACUCGCCUACAUGAAGUCGGAAUCGCUAGUAAUCGCGGAUCAGCAUGCCGCGGUGAAUACGUUCCCGGGCCUUGUACACACCGCCCGUCACACCAUGAGAGUUUGUAACACCCAAAGUCGGUGGGGUAACCUUUUAGGAACCAGCCGCCUAAGGUGGGACAGAUGAUUAGGGUG